rnacentral:rRNA from 1 species
UGGUGGAGUGAUUUGUCUGGUUAAUUCCGUUAACGAACGAGACCUCGACCUGCUAAAUAGUAUGCAUCGAGCUUCGGCUCGUGUAGCACUUCUUAGAGGGACUAUGGGCUUGAAGCCUGUGGAAGUUCGAGGCAAUAACA